UAGGGAAUCUUCCGCAAUGGACGAAAGUCUGACGGAGCAACGCCGCGUGAGCGAAGAAGGUCUUCGGAUCGUAAAGCUCUGUUGUUAGGGAAGAACAAGUACCGUUCGAAUAGGGCGGUACCGUGACGGUACCUAACCAGAAAGCCACGGCUAACUACGUGCCAGCAGCCGCGGUAAUACGUAGGUGGCAAGCGUUGUCCGGAAUUAUUGGGCGUAAAGCGCGCGCAGGCGGCUUCUUAAGUCUGAUGUGAAAGCCCGCAGCUCAACUGCGGAGGGUCAUUGGAAACUGGGAAGCUUGAGUGCAGAAGAGGAGAGUGGAAUUCCACGUGUAGCGGUGAAAUGCGUAGAGAUGUGGAGGAACACCAGUGGCGAAGGCGGCUCUCUGGUCUGUAACUGACGCUGAGGCGCGAAAGCGUGGGGAGCAAACA
rnacentral:rRNA from 1 species